UUCCCCUAGUAACUGCGAGUGAAGCGGGAAAAGCUCAAAUUUAAAAUCUGGUGGUCUUUGGCCAUCCGAGUUGUAAUUUAGAGAAGCGUCUUCCGCGCUGGACCGUGCACAAGUCUCCUGGAAUGGAGCGUCACAGAGGGUGAGAAUCCCGUCUUUGGCAUGGACAUACCAGGGCUUUUGUGAUGCGCUCUCGAAGAGUCGAGUUGUUUGGGAAUGCAGCUCAAAAUGGGUGGUGAACUCCAUCUAAAGCUAAAUAUUGGCGAGAGACCGAUAGCGAACAAGUACCGUGAGGGAAAGAUGAAAAGCACUUUGGAAAGAGAGUGAAACAGUACGUGAAAUUGUUGAAAGGGAAACGCUUGAAGUCAGUCGCGUCGACCGAGACUCAGCCUCGCCUCGGCUUGGUGUACUUCUCGGCUGACGGGUCAGCAUCAAUUUCGCCUCUUGGAUAAUGGCGAGGGAAAUGUGACACCUUUACGGUGUGUUAUAGUCUCUCGUCGCAUGCAAGGGUCGGGAUUGAGGAACUCAGCACGCGCCUUUGGGUGUCGGGGCUUUGCCCACGAUACGUGCUUAGGAUGUUGGCGUAAUGGCUUUAAACGACCCGUCUUGAAACACGGACCAAGGAGUCUAACAUGCCUGCGAGUGUUCGGGUGGAAAACCCGUGCGCGCAAUGAAAGUGAAAGUUGGGACCUCUGUCGUGGAGGGCACCGACGCCCGGACCAGACCUUCUGUGACGGCUCUGCGGUAAAGCAUGCAUGUUAGGACCCGAAAGAUGGUGAACUAUGCCUGAAUAGGGUGAAGCCAGAGGAAACUCUGGUGGAGGCUCGUAGCGAUUCUGACGUGCAAAUCGAUCGUCAAAUUUGGGUAUAGGGGCGAAAGACU
rnacentral:rRNA from 1 species